rnacentral:misc_RNA from 1 species
AGUUAUUGGGCCGGAAUGGGCCUCAAUCCACUGAUACCAUCGUGGUAUGCUGGUAUCAUGACUUAUAAAACAUAAAACAACCUCCUAUGUUAACGUAACUGUGCAGCUACGACUCUACCUGUUACAACGACGUCGUUUUUGUCCCAUUUUCUACAGCUUAAUUCUCAAUCCAGAACCCUAACAAAACCACUCAACUUGGAACUUUCGCUUCCCACAUCUCUUAAACGAGAAAACGCUUAAACACUCACCUCCAAACACCAAUUCCACCAUCACCAUGGAAAGAGAAGUACUAAUUGCUUCCUCCUCAAUCGACGGUGGUAUCGGUUGCUGGGACCUCCAAACAGGCGCCGAACUCCUACGGUAUAAAUUCUGCGCCUCUACUCCUCACGGCCUUACCUGCGUAGGCCGCAGCUUCCUCGCCUCUUCUCAGCUGCGCGAUCCCCAUGCAUCAUCUGGCUCUAUUCACUAUUGGUCCUGGACUAAGCCUCAAGUAGAGGUCAAGAGCUUUCCGGAGGAGCCAAUAAAGCCGCUUGUUGCUAACAGCGAAGGCGCCUAUAUUGUUGGUGGAGGUUUGUCUGGGCAUAUUUACCUUUGGGAGGUUGCAACUGGUAGAUUGCUUAAGAAAUGGCGUGCUCAUUAUAGGGAAGUUACGUGCUUGGUGUUUACAAAGGAUGAUUCGUUUCUGGUUUCUGGGGCAGAGGAUGGAUCUGUUAGAGUCUGGUCACUUCUCAUGUAUUUAAUUUUCUUGCUUUUGCUUGUAUAUGCCCCUUUCUUACUGCUUAAUUGUCAUGAUUAUUGGGUAUAAUUGCACAUCUUUCACGAAUCAGGAUAUUUGAUGAUUAUCAAACAGAGCAGUCAAGCCAUCUCUAUGAGCACAGCUUUCUAGGGACCACUUCACCGGUAACUGAUAUAGUAACAGGUUAUGGAGGAGGCCGUGCAAUUAUAAUUGCAGCUUCUGAGGAUCGAACUUGUAAGGUGUGGAGCUUAUCUAAGGGGAUAUUAUUGAGAAAUGUUGUGUUUCCCUCAGUAAUUGAUGCAAUUGCUUUAGAACCUGGUGAACAUGUCUUCUAUGCUGGCAGUAGAGAUGGAAAUAUAUACAUUGCUGCACUAAAUGCUGACAGUUCCUCUAGCAAAAGUCAUUGGUUGCAUAUUGUUAGUUCAUUAUAUAACAGUAAGCCUGUUACUUGCUUAGCAUAUAGUGCAAAUGGAAAUUUAUUGCUAUCCGGAUCAGUGGAUGGCGUGAUCCGCAUUUGGGAUGCCACAAGCUAUGAUCCUGUUUGCACCUUUAAACAUGCAACAGGUUUUGUUCAAAAGACCUGAGUUUCUGUUUUUGUAUGUUUCAUAUGAUUAUUCUCUGGUGCCUGAUUUAGUUGUGAUUCUUGUACUGCAGUGGUACAGCCUUUGUAAAAUAUCAUCUUUCCCAUUUUUUGCCACUAAAACUUAUCCCAAUAACUAGAAAGGAUUAGUAAAGCUAGAUAUAUAUUUUCUCUAAUCAUUGUACACUAUAAGCAACAGUCUUCACUCUUCACUUCAGAAACUAAAUGGAAAAAAGGCCUGUUUAACUAUUACCUUGUAACAGAUUAACAAGUCGAUAUGGUAAAUUUUAAUCCCUGAUUGUAAGCAUAUCCGAUACAUGUUUGAACUAUUAGAAACUGUGGGGUAGAAAAUUUCAUAACACCAUAUUAGCUGUAUGUCUAUGUGUUUGCAUGCUAAGGGUAAGCACAAAUUGGUUUGUCAAAUAGAAAAAAUGGCUUAUGGUUUAGUUUGGUUUCUAAUUUUAAGGGACCAAACUGAACCAUAUAUAUAUAUACACCUUUUCAUCUAUAUAAAUGUUGUACAAAGAGAGGCACAAGAAAGAGGGGGAGGGGGAAGAAGUA